AAAUAAAGAAACUUUUUCAGUGCUAGGCAGAAGAAUUUCUGGUCGGCUUAAAAGGGAAUCAGGUGAAAGUCCUGAGCGAUCCGGUCACUGUAAAUGAGGAGCAAAGCGGCGGCAAGCCAUUGCAUAAAAAUGUGAGAAGGUGCAGCUUUGUUAAGAUCCAUAAGCCAGGAGACCUGCUGAAAGAGAGUAAAUUGC
rnacentral:ncRNA from 2 species